rnacentral:rRNA from 1 species
GGGUUGUGAGGUUAAGCGACUAAGCGUACACGGUGGAUGCCUAGGCAGUCAGAGGCGAUGAAGGGCGUGCUAAUCUGCGAAAAGCGUCGGUAAGGUGAUAUGAACCGUUAUAACCGACGAUACCCGAAUGGGGAAACCCAGUGCAAUUCGUUGCACUAUUGCAUGGUGAAUACAUAGCCAUGCAAGGCGAACCGGGGGAACUGAAACAUCUAAGUACCCCGAGGAAAAGAAAUCAACCGAGAUUCCCCCAGUAGCGGCGAGCGAACGGGGAGGAGCCCAGAGUCUGAAUCAGUUUGUGUGUUAGUGGAAGCGUCUGGAAAGUCGCAGGGUACAGGGUGAUACUCCCGUACACAAAAACACACUUGCUGUGAACUCGAUGAGUAGGGCGGGACACGUGACAUCCUGUCUGAAUAUGGGGGGACCAUCCUCCAAGGCUAAAUACUCCUGACUGACCGAUAGUGAACCAGUACCGUGAGGGAAAGGCGAAAAGAACCCCGGCGAGGGGAGUGAAAUAGAACCUGAAACCGUGUACGUACAAGCAGUGGGAGCCUACUUUGUUGGGUGACUGCGUACCUUUUGUAUAAUGGGUCAGCGACUUAUAUUUUGUAGCAAGGUUAACCGAAUAGGGGAGCCGUAGGGAAACCGAGUCUUAACUGGGCGUCUAGUUGCAAGGUAUAGACCCGAAACCCGGUGAUCUAGCCAUGGGCAGGUUGAAGGUUGGGUAACACUAACUGGAGGACCGAACCGACUAAUGUUGAAAAAUUAGCGGAUGACUUGUGGCUGGGGGUGAAAGGCCAAUCAAACCGGGAGAUAGCUGGUUCUCCCCGAAAGCUAUUUAGGUAGCGCCUCGUGAACUCAUCUUCGGGGGUAGAGCACUGUUUCGGCUAGGGGGCCAUCCCGGCUUACCAAACCGAUGCAAACUCCGAAUACCGAAGAAUGUUAUCACGGGAGACACACGGCGGGUGCUAACGUCCGUCGUGAAGAGGGAAACAACCCAGACCGCCAGCUAAGGUCCCAAAGUCAUGGUUAAGUGGGAAACGAUGUGGGAAGGCAUAGACAGCCAGGAUGUUGGCUUAGAAGCAGCCAUCAUUUAAAGAAAGCGUAAUAGCUCACUGGUCGAGUCGGCCUGCGCGGAAGAUGUAACGGGGCUAAACCAUGCACCGAAGCUGCGGCAGCGACGCUUAGGCGUUGUUGGGUAGGGGAGCGUUCUGUAAGCCGUUGAAGGUGACCUGUGAGGGUUGCUGGAGGUAUCAGAAGUGCGAAUGCUGACAUAAGUAACGAUAAUGCGGGUGAAAAACCCGCACGCCGGAAGACCAAGGGUUCCUGUCCAACGUUAAUCGGGGCAGGGUGAGUCGACCCCUAAGGCGAGGCUGAAAAGCGUAGUCGAUGGGAAACAGGUUAAUAUUCCUGUACUUGGUGUUACUGCGAAGGGGGGACGGAGAAGGCUAGGCUAGCCGGGCGACGGUUGUCCCGGUUUAAGCAUGUAGGCGGAGUGACUUGGUAAAUCCGGUUGCUUAUCAACGCUGAGGUGUGAUGACGAGUCACUACGGUGAUGAAGUAGUUGAUGCCAAGCUUCCAGGAAAAGCCUCUAAGCAUCAGGUAACAUUAAAUCGUACCCCAAACCGACACAGGUGGUCAGGUAGAGAAUACUCAGGCGCUUGAGAGAACUCGGGUGAAGGAACUAGGCAAAAUGGUGCCGUAACUUCGGGAGAAGGCACGCUGGCAUUAGGUAAAGGGACUUGCUCCCGGAGCCGAAGCCAGUCGCAGAUACCAGCUGGCUGCAACUGUUUAAUAAAAACACAGCACUGUGCAAACACGAAAGUGGACGUAUACGGUGUGACGCCUGCCCGGUGCUGGAAGGUUAAUUGAUGGGGUCAGCCGCAAGGCGAAGCUCUUGAUCGAAGCCCCAGUAAACGGCGGCCGUAACUAUAACGGUCCUAAGGUAGCGAAAUUCCUUGUCGGGUAAGUUCCGACCUGCACGAAUGGCGUAAUGAUGGCCAGGCUGUCUCCACCCGAGACUCAGUGAAAUUGAACUCGCUGUGAAGAUGCAGUGUACCCGCGGCAAGACGGAAAGACCCCGUGAACCUUUACUAUAGCUUGACACUGAACAUUGAGCCUUGAUGUGUAGGAUAGGUGGGAGGCAUUGAAGUGUGGACGCCAGUCUGCAUGGAGCCAACCUUGAAAUACCACCCUUUAAUGUUUGAUGUUCUAACUCGGCCCCGUGAUCCGGGGUGAGGACAGUGUCUGGUGGGUAGUUUGACUGGGGCGGUCUCCUCCCAAAGAGUAACGGAGGAGCACGAAGGUUAGCUAAUCACGGUCGGACAUCGUGAGGUUAGUGCAAAGGCAUAAGCUAGCUUGACUGCGAGAGUGACGGCUCGAGCAGGUACGAAAGUAGGUCUUAGUGAUCCGGUGGUUCUGAAUGGAAGGGCCAUCGCUCAACGGAUAAAAGGUACUCCGGGGAUAACAGGCUGAUACCGCCCAAGAGUUCAUAUCGACGGCGGUGUUUGGCACCUCGAUGUCGGCUCAUCACAUCCUGGGGCUGAAGUAGGUCCCAAGGGUAUGGCUGUUCGCCAUUUAAAGUGGUACGCGAGCUGGGUUUAGAACGUCGUGAGACAGUUCGGUCCCUAUCUGCCGUGGGCGUUGGAAGAUUGAGAGGGGCUGCUCCUAGUACGAGAGGACCGGAGUGGACGAAUCACUGGUGUUCGGGUUGUCAUGCCAAUGGCAUUGCCCGGUAGCUAAAUUCGGAAGAGAUAACCGCUGAAAGCAUCUAAGCGGGAAACUUGCCUCGAGAUGAGUCUUCCCUGGGGCUUUAAGCCCCCUGAAGGAACGUUAAAGACUAUGACGUUGAUAGGCUGGGUGUGUAAGUGCAGCGAUGCAUUGAGCUAACCAGUACUAAUGAUCCGUGAGGCUUAACCUUACAACACCGAAGGUGUUUUGUA